AUUGAACGCUGGCGGCAGGCCUAACACAUGCAAGUCGAAUGAGUGGCGGACGGGUGAGUAAUGUCUUGGAAACUGCCUGAUGGAGGGGGAUCACUACUGGAAAAGUUAGCUAAUACCGCAUACCAUCCGAUGUGCCCAUAUGGGAUUUGCUGGGUGGUGGGGUAACGGAUCACGAAGGCGACGAUCCCUGGCUGGUAUGAGAGGAUGACCAGCCACACUGAGAGUGAGACACGGCCCAGACGCCCACGGGAGGCAGCAGUGGGGAAUAGUGCACAAUGGGCGCAAGACAGAGGAAGCUAGGCCGCGUGUAUGAAGAAGGCCUUCGGGUUGUAAAAUACUGUCAGUGGGGAUGCGGUACCCGCAGAAGAAGCAACGGCUAAAUCCGUGCCAGCAGCCGCGGUAAUAC
rnacentral:rRNA from 1 species